rnacentral:rRNA from 1 species
UACGUAGGGUGCGAGCGUUAUCCGGAAUUAUUGGGCGUAAAGAGCUCGUAGGCGGUUUGUCGCGUCUGCCGUGAAAGUCCGGGGCUCAACUCCGGAUCUGCAGUGGGUACGGGCAGACUAGAGUGCGGUAGGGGAGACUGGAAUUCCUGGUGUAGCGGUGAAAUGCGCAGAUAUCAGGAGGAACACCGGUGGCGAAGGCGGGUCUCUGGGCCGUAACUGACGCUGAGGAGCGAAAGCGUGGGGAGCGAACAGG